UUGAACGCUGGCGGCAUGCCUUACACAUGCAAGUCGAACGGCAGCACGGGUGCUUGCACCUGGUGGCGAGUGGCGAACGGGUGAGUAAUACAUCGGAACAUGUCCUGUAGUGGGGGAUAGCCCGGCGAAAGCCGGAUUAAUACCGCAUACGAUCUACGGAUGAAAGCGGGGGACCUUCGGGCCUCGCGCUAUAGGGUUGGCCGAUGGCUGAUUAGCUAGUUGGUGGGGUAAAGGCCUACCAAGGCGACGAUCAGUAGCUGGUCUGAGAGGACGACCAGCCACACUGGGACUGAGACACGGCCCAGACUCCUACGGGAGGCAGCAGUGGGGAAUUUUGGACAAUGGGCGAAAGCCUGAUCCAGCAAUGCCGCGUGUGUGAAGAAGGCCUUCGGGUUGUAAAGCACUUUUGUCCGGAAAGAAAUCCUUGGCCCUAAUACGGUCGGGGGAUGACGGUACCGGAAGAAUAAGCACCGGCUAACUACGU
rnacentral:rRNA from 1 species